AGUUCCAGGCAGUCAUCUCUAUCAGAAAAAAAAAUUCCAGAGCCUUCUCCUGUAACAAGGAGAAAGGCAUAUGAGAAAGCAGAAAAAUCAAAGGCCAAGGAACAAAAGCAGGGCAUAAUCAACCCAUUUCCUGCUUCAAAAGGAAUCAGAGCUUUUCCACUUCAGUGUAUUCACAUAGCUGAAGGGCAUACAAAAGCUGUGCUCUGUGUGGAUUCUACUGAUGAUCUCCUCUUCACUGGAUCAAAAGAUCGUACUUGUAAAGUAUGGAAUUUGGUGACUGUGCAGGAAAUAAUGUCACUGGGGGGUCAUCC
rnacentral:lncRNA from 1 species